GACGAACGCUGGCGGCGUGCUUAACACAUGCAAGUCGUACGGUAAGGCCCUUUCGGGGGUACACGAGUGGCGAACGGGUGAGUAACACGUGAGUAACCUGCCCACAACUUUGGGAUAACGCUAGGAAACUGGUGCUAAUACUGGAUAUGUGCUCCUGCUGCAUGGUGGGGGUUGGAAAGCUCCGGCGGUUGUGGAUGGACUCGCGGCCUAUCAGCUUGUUGGUGGAGUAGUGGCCUACCAAGGCGGCGACGGGUAGCCGGCCUGAGAGGGUGACCGGCGACAUUGGGACUGAGAUACGGCCCAGACUCCUACGGGAGGCAGCAGGGGGGAAUCUUGCACAAGGGGCGCCAGCCUGAUGCAGCAACGCCGCGGGCGGGAUGACGGCCUUCGGGUUGUAAACCGCUUUCAGCAGGGACGAAGCUUUUUGUGACGGUACCUGCAGAAGAAGCACCGGCUAACUACGUG
rnacentral:rRNA from 1 species